rnacentral:rRNA from 1 species
AGAGUUUGAUCCUGGCUCAGGAUGAAUGCUAGCGGCAGGCUUAACACAUGCAAGUCGAGGGGCAGCGGGGCGGCAGGCUUGCCUGCCGCCGCCGGCGACCGGCGCACGGGUGAGUAACACGUAUGCAACCUGCCCGUGGCAGGGGGAUAAGCGGGGGAAACCCCGUCUAAUACCGCGUAACGCGGCCUUGGGGCAUCCCCGGGCCGCCAAAGGGAGCAAUCCCGGCCACGGAUGGGCAUGCGGCGCAUUAGCUAGUCGGCGGGGUAACGGCCCACCGAGGCGACGAUGCGUAGGGGUUCUGAGAGGAAGGCCCCCCACACUGGUACUGAGACACGGACCAGACUCCUACGGGAGGCAGCAGUGAGGAAUAUUGGUCAAUGGGCGCGAGCCUGAACCAGCCAAGUCGCGUGAGGGAAGACGGCCCUACGGGUUGUAAACCUCUUUUGCCGGGGAGCAACGGGCGCCACGUGUGGCGCCACUGAGAGUACCCGGAGAAAAAGCAUCGGCUAACUCCGUGCCAGCAGCCGCGGUAAUACGGAGGAUGCGAGCGUUAUCCGGAUUUAUUGGGUUUAAAGGGUGCGUAGGCGGAGCGUUAAGUCAGUGGUCAAAUUGAGGGGCUCAACCCCUUCCCGCCAUUGAAACUGGCGCUCUUGAGUGGAAGAGAAGUAUGCGGGAAUCCGUGGGUUACGGUGAAAUGCAUAGAUAUCAAGCCGGAACCCCGAUUGCGAAGGCAGCAAGCCGGCUUUCCUUCUGACGCUGAAGCACGAAAGCGUGGGGGAUCGAACAGGAUUAGAUACCCUGGUAGUCCACGCGGUAAACGAUGAGCGCUAGGUGUCCGGGGGGAAUGGCCCCUGGGUGCCACAGCGAAAGCGUUAAGCGCUCCACCUGGGGAGUACGCCGGCAACGGUGAAACUCAAAGGAAUUGACGGGGACCCGCACAAGCGGUGGAGCAUGUGGUUUAAUUCGAAGCUACGCGAAGAACCUUACCUGGCCUUGACAUCCCGAUGACCGUCCAGUAACGUGGACCUCCCUUCGGGGCAUCGGAGACAGGUGGUGCAUGGUUGUCGUCAGCUCGUGUCGUGAGAUGUUGGGUUAAGUCCCGCAACGAGCGCAACCCCUAUCUUCAGUAGCCAGCAUAUAGGAUGGGCACUCUGGAGAGACUGCCAGGGACAACCUGGAGGAAGGUGGGGACGACGUCAAAUCAUCAUGCCCCUUAUGGCCAGGGCUACACACGUGCUACAAUGGCGUAAACAAAGGGAGGCGAGCCCGCGAGGGGGAGCAAAUCCCAGAAAUAACGUCUCAGUUCGGAUUGUAGUCUGCAACUCGACUACAUGAAGCUGGAAUCGCUAGUAAUCGCGAAUCAGAAUGUCGCGGUGAAUACGUUCCCGGGUCUUGCACACACCGCCCGUCAAG